rnacentral:rRNA from 1 species
UACGUAGGGUGCAGGCGUUAAUCGGAAUUACUGGGCGUAAAGCGUGCGCAGGCGGUUUGCUAAGUCGGAUGUGAAAUCCCCAGGCUCAACCUGGGAACUGCAUCCGAUACUGGAUGGCUUGAAUCCGGGAGAGGGAUGCAGAAUUCCAGGUGUAGCGGUGAAAUGCGUAGAUAUCUGGAGGAAUACCGGUGGCGAAGGCGGCAUCCUGGACCGGCAUUGACGCUGAGGAGCGAAAGCUAGGGGAGCAAACGGG